rnacentral:lncRNA from 1 species
AUGGAACGUGCGCUCUCAUCCAUCUGAUCUGCCACCUUAAUUAAUGAGGGAGAUCAGAUGGCUCUCGUUUUUUUUGAAUUUUUGAAUUUUCCAUUUAAUUGCUUAGUUUUCAUUAACUCAUAUUAAUUUCAUUAUUGAUCCAAAAAAAUAUGGGACUUUCACAAAAAAAAAUCAAAUAUUUUUCUCUUUCAUUUUCUGAAUUAAAAUUAUUUUUUGGAUUAAUAUUGAUAUUUGUCAUGAUUUAAU